UUCCUCCGUUGUGGUACUGCAUGCAAAUUGGCCUGUAAGGUCGGGUGUUGCGCAUCGAGUUCGGCAGUCAGGCUAUAGCGGCAGGUUGUCGUCCACUAUGGCCUGGAGGAUGAGCUGUGCAACCUGAUCUGGAAUAGCACUUCAAAGGAUGGUAGAGACCUUCUGUGAAAAUUGGAGAACAAAUUUGACUCUCAUCGUAUUCCCUCGGUAUGAUAGGAUUGUUUUGCUCAUCAUUUGAUUGUUUUUCUGAGAGUUGAGAGCAUGGAUGAUAUGAUAUGCAUUGUCAGCUAUGAACAUAUAGUCUAAUUGCUGAUGCAUGGUUAUAAAACUGAAGUACCAAAAAGGGGACUGCAGGCUUCAACAUCAGUGAAAAAUAAUCUUGUGGGAGCCUCCACUAUUGAUUUGCAGGAGUAUAAAUGUAGUCAGAAAUUGGGUUGCGCAUCCCCUAGCAAGCUUAUGGACCGAGCAGGCAUUUGGGUGUCAUGGUAAAAUAAUUUUUGAGGCGGCGGCUGAAUUCCUGAUGGCACUUUCCACAUACAAGGAAACAAGCUCUACAAUAAAUGACAACACGAGGAAGAACUUAGGGCCAACAGCCCCACCGGCCACAAAUAAGCAUAACUUUGUAUCAAUUAUGUGGUUUCAAAACUGUCCGAAUAUACAUUCAUUAUUUGCAGUGAAACUCAGAAGAAGAAAAAACAUCAUCUAAGUAGGUGCUCCGAGCUAAAUAGAUCUUUGUCCUUGGUUCGGUAUGGAUUUCAAAAAGAUUGGAAAAAUACCAAGAAUUAUACCAGGACAAAAUAUUGACUAAACACUUAUCUUUGCAGCAAGUUCAAAAAUUUGAGCUAUGGUGACUGAGUUUGCUCAGGAGUAUGUGUUCUGUCCAUAACUGUCGUGACAACAUCAAUGUCAAAUAUUACCACCUAUCUACCGCUAUGGCAAUCAGUAUAUUAGCAUCAUAUCUACUGCUACAGCAAGUAGUUCUAGCAGUUCCAGGGAAAAAUAUCUAGACACGAAGAAGCAGCACCGAAUUACUGUA